GGGGAUUUGGCUCAGUGGUAGAGCGCUUGCCUAGCAAGUGCAAGGUCCUGGGUUCGGUCCCCAGCUCCG
rfam:Rattus norvegicus chromosome 7, whole genome shotgun sequence.